rnacentral:lncRNA from 1 species
UUCUGUUUUUAUAACUUUGAAAAUACAAAAUCAAUCACAGAAUAUAGUUAGAUAUAUCAAAACACAUUUAGAAAAAGGAUUUUACAUUGUCAGUUUAUCUACCAGUGGUAUACUAGCUUAUUUAUACAGUUUUUCUAUCCGAGCGAUUUUCAUGAUGUAUUCAAUGACUUAACACAUGAUACGGUUUGUUGAUUACAUUCAGUGUUUAAAGCAUAAAUGAAACAAACUCUCAAAUAUGAAUGUUCUACGGAUACUUUAUUUUCUUCCAUUAAUAUACGUGGGAUAUCAAAGUGUAUACAAACUUUACACUUUUUAUCGAACAUCCUGCACGGAUCAUACCUAUCCGCACUUCAAAAGUGACGAUGACAUUGUGAAGCAGAUAAAACAACAGUUAAAACUGGAUCCACAUCCUAGCGGUGCCGGAGCUUUUAGACAGUUGUGGAAAGGAGAUAGGGAUGUUGUAUUUACCAGUAAAACCAGUCACAGUAGUGCAAGAAGCAUAGGUACAAGCAUAUAUUUACUGUCGCGCCAAAUUGUGGCCAAUGGCAUAAACACCUGUCAGAUCAAGGGUUUUUCUGGCAUGCUGGUGGGGCUUUAAAUAUCCAUAUGCUUCAUGAAGACGGCAGAUACAGUUAUGACGUAUUAUGUGACGUCACAACCAAUGAAAACUGUUCGGGACAUGUUAUUAUUCCUCACGAUACAUGGUACUUUGCAGUACUUUCACCUGAUGCUUCUUAUAACCUGUGCAGCGAGGUCGUUAUGCCAGGUUUUGAAUUCGAAGAUUGGUCGGUGGGAAGCGAGGGAGACCUAGUUGAAAUUUAUCCACAGUAUAAUGACAUUAUUAAAAAUAUUACAAAUUACAAUAAAUGUUGAAACUGUA